rnacentral:lncRNA from 1 species
CUUGGAGAAAAACUAUGUGGAGGUAGAGUAUACUCUCCCAUAAUUUUUGGGCAGUGUCUGGAAGAGCUAGAAGGUGAAGAAUCUGGCAGAAUCUAGUCCAAAAGGCAUGAAAAUAUAUGGAAAAAUGAGCUGUUAGGUACAUAAACACAUCUACAGCUUAAUUUCCUCAUCUUCUUAACUGCCAGUAAUCCAGUUAGACAGCUUCUGCUUAAAUCAUGUCUUACUUGUUAAAAUUCUGAGGUUCCAGGAAUGUUAGCAUGUAUCUUUCUUUCUUUCUUUCUUUCUUUCUUUCUUUCUUCUUUCUUUCUUUCUUUCUUUCUUUCUUUCUUUCUUUCUUUCUUUCUUUCUUUCUUUCUUUCUUUUUCUUUCUUUCUUUCUUUCUUUCUUUCUUUCUUUCUUUCUUUCUUUUUCUUUCUUUUUCUUUCUUUUUCUUUCUUUCUUUCUUUCUUUCUUUCUUUCUUCUUCUUCUUCUUCUUCUUCUUCUUCUUCUUCUUCUUCUUCUUCUUCUUCUUCUUCUUCUUCUUCUUCUUCUUCUUCUUCUUCUUCUUCUGCUUUCUCCUCUCCAUUUUCUUCUUCCUUUCUCCCCUCUUGCUCUUUUUUCUCUUCCUCAAUUCUCCCCUUUCCUCCUAUAUUCACAUACAAGACAAUAUUAUGGGAAGAAAUAUGACUCUAAGUCUUUCUAAUUGCUACACCAGGUAGCAAUUCUCUAAGCCUAUUAUGGAAAAACAAGUCACUUAAUUUUCUAAGAUGGGAAAUUUGCCUUUUGCUAUUUACUUUUUCCUCCAAGCCAAAGCCUUCUGGGAAUAUUCCAUUUUUGUGAAUCUGCAGAUUCCCCAGUGCCAUGUUUCUUUGGUUAAGAGACUGUCACUUUUCCAGGAACCAGCUUAUAAUUAAAUAUACCAAAGCUCCAAUUUUGGGUCUAAACACUUGUCUUUAUGGAGAACUCAUUAUAUUGUCCAAAAACAUCCCAAGUUUCCCAAGGUCCAGGUUUUUCCCUUCUCAGGUUGAGCUUAUACUGGCAAAUGAAGAGGUGAGAUCAUGAUGUGGAAAAUUAAAGCAAAUAUAUCCAAGCCAUGGCAUACAUUUAAAUUCCAGAAUUCAAGGCAGGCAGAAGGGAUAGAUAGAGAAGUAUAAUUCAAAGGCAGUAGGUAUGGGGAAAAGAAAAAAGAGCAUUCAAAUUCUGUUUCUGAAACAUAUAACCCCUGACUUACAAAAAGAAAAAUAGUAUUGUAGAAAGAGUUCUAGUUUUAAAGUCAGUUGAUUUUGAGUCAAACCCAAGCUCUGUCUUUUAAGGCUUAUAUUACCCUAGGUG